UACAGAGGUCUCAAGCGUUGUUCGGAUUCAUUGGGCGUAAAGGGUGCGUAGGUGGCGCUGUAAGUCGGGUGUGAAAUUUCGGAGCUUAACUCCGAAACUGCAUUCGAUACUGCGGUGCUUUGAGGACUGGAGAGGAGACUGGAAUUCGAUGGUGUAGCAGUGAAAUGCGUAGAGAUCAUGAGGAAGACCAGUGGCGAAGGCGGGUCUCUGGACAGUUCCUGACACUGAGACACGAAGGCCAGGGGAGCAAACGGG
rnacentral:rRNA from 1 species